rnacentral:rRNA from 1 species
UACGUAGGGGGCAAGCGUUGUCCGGAUUUAUUGGGCGUAAAGAGCGUGUAGGCGGUUUGGUAGGUCCGUUGUGAAAACUCGAGGCUCAACCUCGAGACGCCGGCGGAAACCAUCAGGCUAGAGUCCGGAAGAGGAGAGUGGAAUUCCUGGUGUAGCGGUGAAAUGCGCAGAUAUCAGGAGGAACACCGAUGGCGAAGGCAGAUCUCUGGGCCGUAACUGACGCUGAGGAGCGAAAGCAUGGGGAGCGAACAGG